rnacentral:rRNA from 1 species
UACGAAGGGGGCUAGCGUUGCUCGGAAUUACUGGGCGUAAAGGGCGCGUAGGCGGCACUGUUAGUCAGGCGUGAAAUUCCUGGGCUCAACCUGGGGACUGCGCUUGAUACGGCAGAGCUUGAGGAUGGAAGAGGGUCGCGGAAUUCCCAGUGUAGAGGUGAAAAUUCGUAGAUAUUGGGAAGAAACACCGGUGGCGAAGGCGGCGACCUGGUCCAUUACUGACGCUGAGGCGCGACAGCGUGGGGAGCAAACAGG